rnacentral:rRNA from 1 species
GACGAACGCUGGCGGCGUGCUUAACACAUGCAAGUCGAACGGAAAGGACUCUUUCGGGGGGUACUCGAGUGGCGAACGGGUAAGUAACACGUGAGUAACCUGCCCUUGACUUUGGGAUAACUUCAGGAAACUGGGGCUAAUACCGGAUAGGAGCUCCUGCUGCAUGGUGGGGGUUGGACAGUUUCGGCGGUAGGGGAUGGAAUCGCGGCUUAUCAGCUUGCUGGUGGGGUAGUGGCUUACCAAGGCCUUGACGGGUAGCCGGCCUGCGAGGGUGACCGGCCACAUUGGGACGGAGAUACGGCCCAGACUCCUACGGGAGGCAGCAGUGGGGAAUAUUGCACAAUGGGUGGAAGCCUGAUGCAGCAACGCCGUGUGCGUGAUGACGGCCUUCGGGUUGUAAACCGCUUUCGCUCAUGACGAAGCUGUGUGUGACGGUAGUGGGUAAAGAAGCACCGGCUAACUACGUG